rnacentral:rRNA from 1 species
UACAGAGGGGGCAAGCGUUGUUCGGAAUUACUGGGCGUAAAGGGCGCGUAGGCGGCCUGCUAAGUCGAACGUGAAAUCCCUGGGCUCAACCCAGGAACUGCGUCCGAUACUGGUUGGCUUGAAUCCGGGAGAGGGAUGCGGAAUUCCAGGUGUAGCGGUGAAAUGCGUAGAUAUCUGGAGGAACACCGGUGGCGAAGGCGGCAUCCUGGCCCAAUACUGACACUCAGGUGCGACAGCGUGGGGAGCAAACAGG